rnacentral:tRNA from 1 species
GCCCCUGUGGUGUAGCGGUUAUCAUAUGAGAUUCUCAAUCUCGUGACUCGGGUUCAACUCCCGACAGGGGCA